UACAGAGGGAUGCUACCGGGCGACCGGAUGCGGAUCUCGAAAGCCUGUCCCAGUUCGGACUGGAGUCUGCAACCCGACUCCACGAAGUUGGAUUCGCUAGUAAUCGCGCAUCAGCCAUGGCGCGGUGAAUACGUUCCCGGGCCUUGUACACACCGCCCGUCAAGCCAUGGGAGCCGGGGGCGCCUGAAGUCCGGGACCGCGAGGACCGGCCUAGGGCGAAACCGGUAACUGGGGCUAAGUCGUAACAAGGUACC
rnacentral:rRNA from 1 species